UACGUAGGGGGCGAGCGUUGUCCGGAUUUACUGGGCGUAAAGCGCGUGUAGGCGGUACUCUAAGUCCGGGGUGAAAUCCGGGGGCUUAACCCCCGAGCAGCGCCGGAAACUGGAGCGCUUGAGUGUCGGAGAGGGGAGUGGAAUUCUCGGUGUAGCGGUGAAAUGCGUAGAGAUCGAGAGGAACACCCGUGGCGAAGGCGGCUCCCUGGCCGAACACUGACGCUGAGACGCGAAAGCGUGGGGAGCGAACAGG
rnacentral:rRNA from 1 species